GAUGAACGCUGGCGGCGUGCCUAAUACAUGCAAGUCGAGCGAACAGACGAGGAUCUUGCUCCUCUGACGUUAGCGGCGGACGUGUGAGUAACACGUGGAUAACCUACCUAUAAUACUUGGAUAACUUCGUGAAACCUGAUCUAAUACCGUAUAAUAUAUUUAACCUCAUGUUUCAAUUGUUAAAUACCGUUUUUCUUUCACUUUUAGAUUUAUCCGCGCCGCAUUAGCUAGUUGGUAAGGUAACGGCUUACCAAGGCAACGAUGCGUAUCCGACAUGAGAGGGUGAUCGGCCACACUGGAACUGAGACACGGUCCAGACUCCUACGGGAGGCAGCAGUAGGGAAUCUUCCGCAAUGGGCGAAAGCCUGACGGAGCAACGCCGCGUGAGUGAUGAAGGUCUUCGGAUCGUAAAACUCUGUUAUUAGGGAAGAACAAAUGUGUAAGUAACUAUGCACGUCUUGACGGUACCUAAUCAGAAAGCCACGGCUAACUACGUG
rnacentral:rRNA from 1 species